rnacentral:lncRNA from 1 species
UGUUGUUCUCUUCUCUAAAUGUCCACAACAGCCAGGACUGGGUCAGGCCAAAGAUUAGAGCAGGGAACUAUUCUAUUAGGGUGACAGGAACUGAAGUACUUGGGACAUCAUUCUUUGCCUCCAAGCUAGAAGUUGGGUUGGAAUUGGAGAUGGAACCUAGGCACUCCAAUGUGGGAUGCAGGUGCCCCAAACAGCAACUUACCCAUUGUGCCAGAAAGCCAGCCCCCAAAACUUGCAUUUUUGCAGGAACAUAUUAAUUUAUACUUAUUUUUACUUUUUCUAAUAUUUGAAAGUAAGAAAAAUACAUCAUUUAUAUCACUUCAAUAGAUUAUUACCUACAGAAAUUUUUAUGGUCUUAUACAAAUUCCUUUACACAUUAUUAUUUCAUUUAAUAUUCACAAAAACUUUGAGGAAGAUGGGCUUAUCCUCAGUCAUUAAAUAGAAGCUUUUAACCCAGUCCUGUAGAUGCCUUUAAUUUAUUUGCUUUUCCCCUUUAGGUACAAAGCACUCUGUUCAGGGAUGUGACUUAACAGUUGACAGCAUUGCAACAACUACAAAUGCCUACAAGACGGUAGUCCACCAAAUUCACAGAGACAGUCACAGCUGAUGGUUUUACAAUGUGUGAAAAGAAAGAAAAGGUCCUGAGCAAACUGCAUAAUGUCCUUCAGUUUCAUGUAUGCUAUUGUUCACCUGGAUGCUGGGAGUACAGCUUUAACUUGGAGAGAUAUAGCCACCCUGUUAUUCUGUUAAUAUUCUCUACUCCACCUGUUCUUGCCGAUGGUAAGGACAACAGCAUACUCUUCUCCCCUUUCUUGCACCCCAAAGUAAAUGCUAAUUAAUAAAACUGUUUAGUUUCCCAAACAUCUGAAAGGUAUGAAAAGACAGAGAAUUGGAACACUGCCUUUCUUCUUCUCAACUCAGUGAUCUGCAAACUUUUGGAGAUGAUUGUAAUAAAUUUUUGUGGCAUAACCUGUCA